rnacentral:rRNA from 1 species
UACGAAGGGGGCUAGCGUUGUUCGGAUUUACUGGGCGUAAAGCGCACGUAGGCGGAUUGUUAAGUCGGGGGUGAAAUCCUGGAGCUCAACUUCAGAAUUGCCUUCGAUACUGGCUUUCUAGAGGCUGGAAGAGGUUAGUGGAAUUCCCAGUGUAGAGGUGAAAUUCGUUAGAUAUUGGGAAGAACACCAGUGGCGAAGGCGGGCUAACUGGUCCAGAUCUGACGCUGAGGUGCGAAAGCGUGGGGAGCAAACAGGG